UUGAACAAUAUAAAAAAUUUACAUAUUCUAUUGAACAAUUGGAAGAUCAUCAAACCGCCCUUUUCUUUGAGAAAUGUGGCAUUAAAGCAUUUAAUGUUACAGACAUUCUUAGUUACGAACACUUAAAAUAAUUAUCAUAAUUAGAUAACUAAUUUUCACACUGAUCUAUAUAGAUCAACGAACUUCGAUCCUUAUAACGUAAUUUCUUUCAUGUAUUCAUAAAUCAUUAUGUAAACAUACCAAAUAGCUAAACUUCAAAUGUAAAAGUUAUUCUAUAUUGCU
rnacentral:lncRNA from 1 species